UACGAAGGGGGCUAGCGUUGCUCGGAAUCACUGGGCGUAAAGGGUGCGUAGGCGGGUCUUUUAAGUCAGGGGUGAAAUCCUGGAGCUCAACUCCAGAACUGCCUUUGAUACUGAAGAUCUUGAGUUCGGGGAGAGGUGAGUGGAACUGCGAGUGUAGAGGUGAAAUUCGUAGAUAUUCGCAAGAACACCAGUGGCGAAGGCGGCUCACUGGCCCGAUACUGACGCUGAUGCACGAAAAGCGUGGGGAGCAAACAGG
rnacentral:rRNA from 1 species